rnacentral:rRNA from 1 species
GACGAACGCUGGCGGCGUGCCUAAUACAUGCAAGUAGAACGCACAGUUUAUACCGUAGCUUGCUACACCAUAGACUGUGAGUUGCGAACGGGUGAGUAACGCGUAGGUAACCUGCCUGGUAGCGGGGGAUAACUAUUGGAAACGAUAGCUAAUACCGCAUAAUAUUGAUUAUUGCAUGAUAAUUGAUUGAAAGAUGCUAUUGCAUCACUACCAGAUGGACCUGCGUUGUAUUAGCUAGUAGGUGAGGUAACGGCUCACCUAGGCGACGAUACAUAGCCGACCUGUGAGGGUGCUCGGCCCCACUGGGACUGGGACACGGCCCAGACUGCUACAGGAGGCAGCAGUAGGGAAUCUUCGGCAAUGGACGAAAGUCUGACCGGGCAACGCCGCGUGAGUGAAGAAGGUUUUCGGAUCGUAAAGCUCUGUUGUAAGAGAAGAACGGGUGUGAGAGUGGAAAGUUCACACUGUGACGGUAUCUUACCAGAAAGGGACGGCUAACUACGUG